UGGUCUCAUGGCGUUGUCAACAGCGUGGACUGUCUGCAUUGCAAAGAAUCGCGGGAGAUUUUGUACUGUAAAAAGAAGCUGCAGUGUAUUUUGUGUUGGCAUUUUGGCAACCGUUCAAGUAGGCGUCAGAGAGGACACAUGUGUCGGAGCGUUUUUUUUUUUGUGUCGUCAAAAGCAAAGGUACCCAGUGCAGUUGCGCAGCGUGCAGCUGAGAGAUGCAGACCGCCUGGGAAUGGUCAGCUGUGGGACGUCCUACUACCAUGUGGCAAGAAGUGGUACAUCAUAAUGGAAGUAACCUGUAAUAUCAAUGAUCUGGAAACAUCUGUACAUGGUACAAGGUGAUGCCAUUGAGAUGCUUGAAUGGCUCUGUAUGCACAGGACCUGACACAUUAUCAGAGGGCGUCCAACUACGCCAACUGGAAUCCUGCAGUGACAAGUGUUCAGAUUGUGCAUCUUCUCCGUGUGAUGGGAGAACUGUGCUUUGGCUGUCAGACUCAGACAUGACUCACAGUGACUCAGUGAAAGUGACAGUCAUGACUCUCGUGAAACUCAGACGGGUGGUGCUCCUGGAGUGUGUCUAGGAAGCUCAAUGAAGUGAGGUAAGCAGCAGACCAGGUAAGUCCAGUAUUUUUUAGAGUAUCUACGAUGGAAGCAAAUGGAUGGUCCUCACAACUUAAGCAACUUGUAGGAUCAGAUUGGGUUUACCGUAAUUUCACGCGUAUAAGCCGCACCGCAGAUAAACCGCAGGACGCGUUUUUUGGGACGUUUUGAAAAUUUUCUGGCAGAUAAGCCGCACCCGCAGAUAAGCCGCGGCCAAUACGAGACGACUGAUUUGUGCGACAAAGGAGACCAUAGAGAAGGCCAUAAACCCUGUGGUCCAUACUCCGGGACCG